CUUUGUACUCGACCGGAAAUACCUGUUUUUGACGUGUGCAGCGGUUAGUUAUCAGUGGAAGCACGGCGCCCUUAUCUGUUACACGCGGCAGACAUUACUCGUAGCCACGUUGCAGCGAUACAAUACGAGUGGCUCGAGGCAUUUGUUUUUACGAUAAACUUUUAUAUCGGUGUCAAACAACGCUUUGGUUCGUGUCCGUACGAACAGAGUUGCUCCCACCCACACCCGUCAUCCUUACGACGUGCUCGGCAGUGAGGUGUUAGUCGUGAAGGUGAUAUUUCAAGACAGAGGAGGGCGGGAGCUAAGGACGCAGGAGAAAAAAAAAAGCAAGGUGCUUCUGUCGUUUGUUCAGAAGAGUUUGAAAUUCGGUCGUCUCCGCAGAUUCAGAAGAAAACAAAACCUGCCCAUAAUUGUCAUGAUGAAGAAAGCUGGGCAGGGACAUCAUGAUUAUGGUCAGUACUUGCGGUCAGACGUCCUCCGCGGUGAGGCAAGAGUGGAGGGCGGCGCCUUAUCCCCUCCCCGUCCCCCGCUCUUCUCCCCACAUAGAGAUGACCUGAUCCCCUGGCGACGGAGGCCCACUGGGGAGGCUGACACCACCAUCAAGACCACCACCACCAUCAUCACUUUCGCCUCGUAUAUCUAAAAUUAAUAUCUGUGGGACGUUUGGACGUGGCAAGGAUUAUCUGGUGGUAGAAGCUUCUCUCCAAGAGUCAGUGAGAACCCAUAUUGUACAAAACUCUAUUUAAUGUUGCAUUCAAAAGAAAUAUGGUACAGAUAGAUGUAUCACGCCCCUCAACACGCUUAGUGUUUGUUUUCUCACAGAGAUAAUGUUAUGAUGUCUUUCUUUCAGUAAUCAUGGAGAAUCCACAUUAAACUCUCAUUAGAAUCAUGGAAACACGUCCUUGAAAUCGCUAAUAACUUCUAAAAGAGACGUUCAAAAGUUGUUGAAAUUAUAUCUUUGUUCUGUAAUGAUUGGUAACUCUUGCCAGAGAUGAUGACAAUGCUGCAGGUAGUCCGAGGAAACACUCGAGUCCUCGCCACAACGACCAAGCAGUUUGCCUUCAGAGGUCGUGACGCGCCGCCCGCUCCUUCCUCCUACUCUCUUACUCCAAUACUUAUGGAAAAUGUUUACUUAUAAAUAUUUUGUCCACAA